CGGCCGGUGAAUGGGCAGAUAAUGCCAUC
rnacentral:sRNA from 1 species